AGAGCGAACGCUGGCGGCAGGCCUAACACAUGCAAGUCGAGCGCCCGUAGCAAUACGGGAGCGGCAGACGGGAUAGUAACACGUGGGAACGCGCCCUUCGGUUCGGAAUAACUCAGGGAAACUUGAGCUAAUACCGAAUACGCCCUUACGGGGAAAGAUUUAUUGCCGAAGGAACGGCCCGCGUCCGAUUAGCUAGUUGGUGAGGUAAUGGCUCACCAAGGCUACGAUCGGUAGCUGGUCUGAGAGGAUGACCAGCAUCACUGGGACUGAGACACGGCCCAGACUCCUACGGGAGGCAGCAGUGGGGAAUAUGGACAAUGGGCGCAAGCCUGAUCCAGCCAUGCCGCGUGGAUGAUGAGGCCUUAGGGUUGUAAAGUCCUUUAACGGGAGAUAAUGACGGUACCGUAGAAUAAGCCCCGGCUAACUUCGUGCCAGCAGCCGC
rnacentral:rRNA from 1 species